rnacentral:rRNA from 1 species
CCUANGGGGGGCAGCAGUGAGGAAUCUUGCGCAAUAGGGGAAACCCUGACGCAGCAACGCCGCGUGAGUGAAGAAGGCCUUCGGGUCGUAAAGCUCUGUCAAGUGGGAAAAAAGCUUACUGGUGAAUAGCCAGGAAGCCUGAUGGUACCAUUAAAGGAAGCACCGGCUAACUCCGUGCCAGCAGCCGCGGUAAUACGGAGGGUGCAAGCGUUGUUCGGAAUUACUGGGCGUAAAGGGCGUGUAGGCGGUGUGGUAAGUCAGAUGUGAAAGCCCUGGGCUUAACCCAGGAAGUGCAUUUGAAACUGCCACGCUUGAGUAUGGGAGAGGAGAGUGGAAUUCCCAGUGUAGAGGUGAAAUUCGUAGAUAUUGGGAGGAACACCCGUGGCGAAGGCGACUCUCUGGACCAAUACUGACGCUGAGGCGCGAAAGCGUGGGGAGCAAACAGGAUUAGAUACCCUANUANUC